AUUCUGUGCACUAGGAGGCUCCUCGCUCUCAGAAACAGUCACUCCUCCCUCCCACGUGACGCAGCCUGUGCAUUUUCAGGUGAGGGACGGCCGGUGUCAUCGUUGGAGCUUCCUAAGAGUCCCAGAGGCUGAUGCACCUCCCAGACUCUCCUCGGCCCGGCUCCCUGGGCCCUGCUCCAGGGGCUUCAUUGCUCCCUGCCCCGGGUCACCCCUCGGCUCACCGUCUCUCAGGUGUGGAAUAUCCUGCUCCAAUCAAAGCCAUGUCACCUGCGUUGUCCAGUGAAACAUCAGUGGACAGGCGCUGCCCGGGCUCCAGGGAGCUCCUCACUGAGGCUCACUCCCUGUGCCUCUGCCAUCAGCACAGGGGGACAUGCCUGGCUGCCUGUGGGACCAGGGAGGACGCGCGGUGCGGGAGCAGAGCCAGCCACACUGCCGCUGCUGCACUGUUCAUCUGAGUGGCGCAAGGUUAUGUGUUUCAGCUGCGAGUUUUUCAAAUUGUUGCAAAUCUUCAAACAUUUUUCCAACAAAUUUACUGAAAAAAAUCCACAUAUAAGUGGCACCCCCACCAGUUUAAACCUGUGUUGUUCAAG
rnacentral:lncRNA from 10 species